rnacentral:misc_RNA from 1 species
CUAGCAUAUUCAGCUGGAGAUAAUGUUUACACAACAAAUUACCAAAAUCCAUCACAGCAGCAAUCCAUACGAACUGUUUAUGAAUGUGAAAGCAAUCAUACAAAUCCAUAUCUAUGUCCAACUCUUUACAUUGAUUGUUGGCACUCGCUAUGCAUCUGUUGCUUGAAAUAAUUGUGCAACCUCCGUAAUAGUGCUCCGAGCAUCCUCGAUGUCUGGUCCAUCCUUAUUAUCAGAUUCCUCCAACUCAGCCAAAGUCCCUUUUAGGUCAGCUAAUGCAGCUUCAAGGCGCUUGUGGCAAUCAGGAAUCAUCAUCCUCGAUUCAGCCAGCACAUUUUCCUGUUGCUUAAGGUCAUAAGGGUCCGCUCCCUUCUCCUUCAUGUCAGCUGUUUUAGCAGCUUCUCUCUCAACCUCUUUCUCAUAUGAACGCAGCUCCUUCAGAAUGCGUUUGCAAGUGCUCGUCUUGAUUUUCAGAUUUCUAAGAGUAGCCAUCCUAACCUUUGCUUGAAUUUCUUCGAUGGGAGGAAGAGAGAGCGUUAGCGAGAGCUGAGAGUGCAAAAUCAGUGUCGCUGCAAAAGCUCUCGAAGAGAGGGAAACAGAUGAUUCUGUUCGUGGCGCGUGC